rnacentral:rRNA from 1 species
GACGAACGCUGGCGGCGUGCUUAACACAUGCAAGUCGAACGGACCCUUUGGGGUUAGUGGCGAACGGGUGAGUAACACGUGGGUGAUCUGCCCUGCACUUUGGGAUAAGCCUGGGAAACUGGGUCUAAUACCGGAUAGGACUACGCACUGCAUGGUGUGUGGUGGAAAGCUUUUGCGGUGUGGGAUGGGCCCGCGGCCUAUCAGCUUGUUGGUGGGGUGAUGGCCUACCAAGGCGACGACGGGUAGCCGGCCUGAGAGGGUGACCGGCCACACUGGGACUGAGAUACGGCCCAGACUCCUACGGGAGGCAGCAGUGGGGAAUAUUGCACAAUGGGCGCAAGCCUGAUGCAGCGACGCCGCGUGAGGGAUGACGGCCUUCGGGUUGUAAACCUCCUUCGCCAGGGACGAAGCGCAAGUGACGGUACCUGGAGAAGAAGGACCGGCCAACUACGUGCCAGCCGCCGCGGUAACAC